rnacentral:rRNA from 1 species
ACGGGUGAGUAAUACAUCGGAACGUAUCCUGGAGUGGGGGAUAGCCCGGCGAAAGCCGGAUUAAUACCGCAUACGCUCUGAGGAGGAAAGCGGGGGACCUUCGGGCCUCGCGCUCAAGGGGCGGCCGAUGGCGGAUUAGGUAGUUGGUGGGGUAAAGGCCUACCAAGCCGACGAUCCGUAGCUGGUCUGAGAGGACGACCAGCCACACUGGGACUGAGACACGGCCCAGACUCCUACGGGAGGCAGCAGUGGGGAAUUUUGGACAAUGGGGGCAACCCUGAUCCAGCAAUGCCGCGUGUGUGAAGAAGGCCUUCGGGUUGUAAAGCGCUUUUGUCCGGAAAGAAAUCAUCGGGGCCAAUACCCCUGGUGGAUGACGGUACCGGAAGAAUAAGCACCGGCUAACUACGUGCCAGCAGCCGCGGUAAUACGUAGGGUGCGAGCGUUAAUCGGAAUUACUGGGCGUAAAGCGUGCGCAGGCGGUGCUGUAAGACCGAUGUGAAAUCCCCGGGCUUAACCUGGGAACUGCAUUGGUGACUGCAGCGCUGGAGUAUGGCAGAGGGGGGUGGAAUUCCACGU